GAGAACACCUCAGGAAGGCAGCCAUCCCAUAAGGCAGGAACAGAACUCUCAUCAGAAAUCAAACCUUGCUGGACCUUGGUCUGGAACUUGCAGCUUUAGAAAUGAGAGAAAUAAGUUGUUGAAGACACUCCACUUGUGAUACUGUGUUAUGAAGCCCAAACGGAUGAAUAGGAGUGCAAUUAGAUUUUGGAUCUACACAGAGGCAGUUGCAACUUGGCAGCAACAGCUUUGUUGAGUAACUGCUGCAGAUCCUGUAUGACCUGUCCCUGGGCCUGCCCGAACUCCAGAGACUGCUCCCUUGAUGGAAAGAUGUGUUUGGCUGUUUUGAUUUUGAAAGGACUAAACAGAACUGUUUUUUAAAACUUCAAAGAAAAUGAUUUUCUAAAUUACUGGAAAUGUGUUGUGAAAUACGCAACAGAUAUAGUAAAUAUUUCAUGAAAAAGAAGGGAAUUAAGACAGGAAGUAAAAAUGUUUCCUUGGCUGUGAAGAAGAUUUAUAUAUUUAAA